rnacentral:rRNA from 1 species
ACCUGCAGUCGAUCGGGCGUAUCAAUACGUCUGCGGCCGACGGGUGAGUAACGCCUGGCCUCUUACGUUUUGGUUCGGAACCACCCAGGGGAACUUGGGCUCAUACCGGAUAAGCCCUUACGGCGAAACAUUUAUCGCCGAAAGAUCGGCCCGCGUCUGAUUACCUAGUUGGUAAGGUAAUGGCCUACCACGGCGACGAUCAGUAGCUGGUCUGAGACGAUGAUCACCCCCCUUGGGACUGAGACACGGCCCAAACUCCUACGGGAGGCAGCCUUGUGCAAUAUCGGACAAUGGGCGCAAGCCUGAUCCAGCCAUGCCGCGUGACUGAUGAAGGCCCUAGGGUUGUAAAGCUCUUUUGUGCGGGAAGAUAAUGACGGUACCGCAUCAAUAAGCCCCGGCUAACUUCCUGCCAGCAGCCGCGGUAAUACGAAGGGGGCUAGCGUUGCUCGGAAUCACUGGGCGUGAAGGGUGCGUAUGCGGGUCUUUAAGUCAGGGGUGAUAUCCUGGAGCUCGACUCCACAAGUGCCUUUGAUACCGAAUAUCUUGAGUCCCGGAGACGUGAGUGGAACUGCUAAUGUAGAUGUGCAAUUCGUAGAUAUUCGGCACAACACCAGUGGCGAAGGCAGCUCACUGGCCCGGUACUGACGCUGAAGCACGAAAGCGUGUGGAGCAAACAGGAUUAGAUACCCUGGUAGUCCACGCCGGAAACGAUGAAUGCCAGCCGUUACUGGGUUUACUCACUCGUGGCGCAGCCAACGCUUUUAGCAUUCCGCCUGCGGAGUACGGUCGCAAGAUUAUAACUCAAAGGAGUUGACGGGGGCCCGCACACGCGCUGGAGCAUGCGGUUUAAUUCUUCGCAUCCCGCAGAACCUUUCUAGCCCUUGACAUGUC